rnacentral:rRNA from 1 species
UGAACGCUAGCGACAGGCUUAACACAUGCAAGUCGAGGGGCAGCAUAAAAGUAGCAAUACUUUGGUGGCGACCGGCGCGACGGGUGAGUAACGCGUAUGCAACCUACCUAUCAGAGGGGAAUAACCCGGCGAAAGUCGGACUAAUACCGCAUAAAACAGGGGCACCGCAUGGUGAUAUUUGUUAAAGAAAUUCGCUGAUAGAUGGGCAUGCGUUCCAUUAGGUAGUUGGUGAGGUAACGGCUCACCAAGCCGACGAUGGAUAGGGGAACUGAGAGGUUGGUCCCCCACACUGGUACUGAGACACGGACCAGACUCCUACGGGAGGCAGCAGUGAGGAAUAUUGGUCAAUGGGCGGGAGCCUGAACCAGCCAAGUCGCCGUGAAGGAAGAAGGAUCUAUGGUUCGUAAACUUCUUUUGCAGGGGAAUAAAGUGCAGGACGUGUCCUGUUUUGUAUGUACCCUGAGAAUAAGGAUCGGCUAACUCCGUGCCAGCCGCGGC